CGCACCCUAACUUAGUCAUCUCACUAUCUGCACUUGCUUAUCACUGUCUUCGCAAAGCUCUUGCAAAAGCUCGGCUUACCAUGCGGUGCAGUGGAGUACAGUCGAAAGUGAAGCGAGCUUAGCAUUAGAGAAAAAGCAAUUAGUCAAAGCAGACGUAUUUAUUGUCUGGCGGCCACCGAAUUUUAUAAUCCCACGUGAAUCUGCGAAUUAUAUAAUCUGGCAGUGGAAAAAUACCAGAUCGACCCCAAGUGAGAAUAUAUGUGAGGAUAGACGUCUAUAUAUAAAUAAAUAUAUAAACAGUGCAGUGAUAAAUUUCAUAAUUAAUACAGGCAUAGAAUCCCCAGAAAUUCGGCUCAUCGAGCUCGGCACUGGCGGAUGGUAGCCUCUGUGGGCCACUAAUGGUCCAUUCAACCUCUAUUACAACUAUAGAGCGCCGUGUGGCCCUAGUGAACAACUAUAUAUUGGGUGCACAAAUUUGGUCGGAGAUCACAACCAGAUUGGCUGCCCAACGGAGUACCAAAAGACUGUGACUCUGACCGUCCCCGACAUACACCCGAGAUCACGGCCAAGUUUGAUUUGAAUAUUAGCGGAGCACAUACAGGCACAUACGCCUGAAAACCAAGAAUACACUGGAUGAGUAGUGCAUAGUACAACAACAGUACCACAAUCCACAAUGCAACAACAAUAAGUUCAUUUAUAUUGUAUCAAUCUUUCUGCAUGCUGCUAUGAUUUGCUGAGAAGUUUCACGAAUUACAUCGUCUGUAUCUUCUAGUUAUUUUGUAUUAAAUUUGUAAACGUAAAAUUAAUAAUUCUAAUGAAAAAUUGUUGAGGCAUACUCGUGGAUACGACAAAAAAAUGAAAGAAUUCUAAUUUUGGUACAUUUAUAUUAAUUAUCUGUAUAUUUUCUCAUAUAGUAUUAUAUCAUUAUCAACACAACAUUAUCAUCGUCACUCAUCUUCGUCAUGGUACCACGACCGUAAGAAAAACGACAUCUGAGUAAGUUAACUUAAACAAGUAGAAGUUACAAAAGGUAACUUUAAUGACACAAAUGAUUAUAUAAAUGUGCCUAAUUGUUAAUCAAAUGAAAUUAUCACGAGUACGUCUCAGACUUGAAUUAAUUUUGUAAAUAUUAGUAAUCAUAUCACAUAUGUAUGUAACAAACGGAGUAUCAUGAAUUCUUUAUUAAUUAAAAUUUCACAUGAAGUGAUUAAUGAAAUAA